rnacentral:rRNA from 1 species
CAUUACUUUUUAGUGGGGUUAUAGUCUCUAUAGCUCCAUCUGAAUCCGUGUCUUUUGCGUACUCAUGUUUCCUCGGCGGGCUUGCCCGCCGAUUGGACAUCUCAAAACCUUUUGUAAUUGCAAUUAGCGUCUGAAAACUAUAAUAGUUACAACUUUCAACAACGGAUCUCUUGGUUCUGGCAUCGAUGAAGAACGCAGCGAAAUGCGAUAAGUAGUGUGAAUUGCAGAAUUCAGUGAAUCAUCGAAUCUUUGAACGCACAUUGCGCCCCUUGGUAUUCCAUGGGACAUGCCUGUUCGAGCGUCAUUUGUACCCUCAAGCUCUGCUUGGUGUUGGGUGUUUGUCCAUGCUAUGCCUUUGGACUCGCCUUAAAGCAAUUGGCAGCCGGUGUAUCAGCCUUGGAGCGCAGCACAUUUUGCGCCUUCAGCUGAUUUACUCGGGCGUCCAUUAAGCCCAAUCAUCACUUUUGACCUCGGAUCAGGUAGGGAUACCCGCUGAACUUAA